AUCCUGGCUCAGGAUGAACGCUGGCGGUCUGCUUAACACAUGCAAGUCGAACGCAACCUUCGGGUUGAGUGGCGGACGGGUGAGUAACGCGUGAGAAUCUGCCUUGGGGUCGGGGACAACCACUGGAAACGGUGGCUAAUACCGGAUAAGCCUUUGGGUAAAAGAUUUAUUGCCCCAAGAGGAGCUCGCGUCUGAUUAGCUAGUUGGUGAGGUAAAAGCUCACCAAGGCAGCGAUCAGUAGCUGGUCUGAGAGGACGAUCAGCCACACUGGGACUGAGACACGGCCCAGACUCCUACGGGAGGCAGCAGUGGGGAAUUUUCCGCAAUGGGCGAAAGCCUGACGGAGCAAGACCGCGUGAGGGAGGAAGGCUCUUGGGUUGUAAACCUCUUUUCUCAGGGAAGAAGCUCUGACGGUACCUGAGGAAUCAGCCUCGGCUAACUCCGUGCCAGCAGCCGCGGUAAUACGGAGGAGGCAAGCGUUAUCCGGAAUUAUUGGGCGUAAAGCGUCCGCAGGUGGCGAUUCAAGUCUGCUGUCAAAGCACGGGGCUUAACUCCGUUAAGGCAGUGGAAACUGAAUAGCUAGAGUGCCGUAGGGGUAGAGGGAAUUCCCGGUGUAGCGGUGAAAUGCGUAGAGAUCGGGAAGAACAUCGGUGGCGAAAGCGCUCUACUGGACGGCAACUGACACUCAGGGACGAAAGCUAGGGGAGCGAAUGGGAUUAGAUACCCCAGUAGUCCUAGCUGUAAACGAUGGAUACUAGGUGUAGCUUGUAUCGACCCGAGCUGUGCCGAAGCUAACGCGUUAAGUAUCCCGCCUGGGGAGUACGCACGCAAGUGUGAAAUUCAAAGGAAUUGACGGGGGCCCGCACAAAGCGGUGGAGUAUGUGGUUUAAUUCGAUGCUACGCGAAGAACCUUACCAGGGGCUUGACCUGUCCGGAAUCC
rnacentral:rRNA from 1 species